CCUACGGGUGGCAGCAGUGAGGAAUAUUGGUCAAUGGACGCAAGUCUGAACCAGCCAUGCCGCGUGCAGGAAGACGGCUCUAUGAGUUGUAAACUGCUUUUGUACGGGGGUAAACGCAGAUACGCGUAUCUGUCUGAAAGUAUCGUACGAAUAAGGAUCGGCUAACUCCGUGCCAGCAGCCGCGGUAAUACGGAGGAUUCAAGCGUUAUCCGGAUUUAUUGGGUUUAAAGGGUGCGUAGGCGGUCGGAUAAGUUAGAGGUGAAAUCCCGAGGCUCAACUUCGGAAUUGCAUCUGAUACUGUGCGGCUAGAGAGUAGGUGCGGUAGGCGGAAUGUAUGGUGUAGCGGUGAAAUGCGUAGAGAUCAGACAGAACACCGAUGGCGAAGGCAGCUUACCAAGCUACUUCUGACGUUGAGGCACGAAAGCGUGGGGAGCAAACAGGAUUAGAUACCCGGGUAGUC
rnacentral:rRNA from 1 species